rnacentral:lncRNA from 1 species
UUCAAACUCAUCAUGAGAUGGACUACUUAUCAUCAUUAUCAUCAUCAAUCAUGUCAUAGUAGCAGCAAUACAUCAUCGAAUCCCAAAUGGAAAAUUUGCUAAGUGCCGAAACAAAACAUCAAAAAUAGACACAUGACAAGUUUUAAAGAUGCUAAACGACUCCAAAAAUAAACAAACACUUGAAGUAAUAUAACUAAAUAAACAGAUGACACGACACAACACGAUAGGCCUACUCAAAAGGCUAAUAGUAAAACAAGAGGGGGAGGGAUUAUAAUUCGUAUCCUUACUCAAAGAUCUUGAAGAGAAGUCCUCCAUGGGUGGCGAAGAAUGGAGCAAACACAAGAGACUCAACAGCCAUGAGUUUGAUGAGGAUGUUUAGUGAUGGUCCUGAUGUGUCCUUUAAAGGAUCCCCAACAGUGUCUCCAAUCACAGCUGCCUUGUGUGCGUCAGACCCUUUUGGUCCAAGUGACUUUGCAUGGUCAGAAACACCCGCCUAACAUUAAACAAAUCAACACAUUAUAUUAUAUUUUAAUAGUAAAAAACAAAUAUAGGAUGCUUCAAUUGUCAUACCUCGAUAUAUUUCUUAGCAUUGUCCCAAGCACCACCAGUGUUGGAUGCAGAGAUAGCAAUCUGUACACCAGAAACAAGAGAUCCAGCAAGAACACCAGAAAGCGUCUCAACACCAAACAAAAUCCCAACAAUAAGAGGAGUCAACAUAACAAGAGCACCAGGUGGAAUCAUCUCCUUAAUAGAAGCAUCAGUAGAAAUCUUAACACACGUGGCAUAAUCAGGCUUAGCAGUUCCCUCCAUCAACCCAGGAAUCUCAUUAAACUGUCUCCUAACUUCCUCCACCAUCUUAAGCGCAGCCUUCCCGACACUCUUCAUAGUCAUAGCCGAGAACCAAUACGGA